AUACGUAGGUGGCGAGCGUUGUCCGGAUUUACUGGGCGUAAAGGAUGCGUAGGUGGAAAUUUAAGUGGGAUGUGAAAUCCCCGGGCUCAACCCGGGAACUGCAUUCCAAACUGGAUUUCUAGAGUGCAGGAGAGGAAAGCGGAAUUCCUAGUGUAGCGGUGAAAUGCGUAGAUAUUAGGAAGAACACCAGUGGCGAAGGCGGCUUUCUGGACUGUAACUGACACUGAGGCAUGAAAGCGUGGGGAGCAAACAGGAUUAGAUACCCUGGUAGUCCACGCCGUAAACGAUGGGUACUAGGUGUAGGGGGUAUCAACUCCCCCUGUGCCGUCGUUAACACAGUAAGUACCCCGCCUGGGGAGUACGGUCGCAAGAUUAAA
rnacentral:rRNA from 1 species